GUAAAGUUUUAUUUAAGCUUGGGAUUUCAGUUUAUGUUUUUUUCACAUGUACUAAUGAAAUAGCUCUAAAUGAGUAAAUUUGCAGUGUUUUGUCUUAAAAUUUAAGUUAUUUUAGAUUUAGAAAUUCAUUUGAGUUCUAAUAAAAAUUGUGCCAGCAAUUGCGGUUAUACAAUUAGGGCAGUUGAAAGGUUUUGGUUAACAAUAAAUUAUUUAUUUUAAAUGGAAUUUAAUAAUUUGAGGGUGAAAUCUAAAUUUUUAUAUAAUUUUAUUUUUUUGUUUAUGAUUUUGUUAAAGUUUUAAAAUAAACUAGGAUUAGAUACCCUAUUAUUUGAACUGUAAAUUUUUAUGCCUUAUUAUUAUUAGAUUAUGUUCUUGAAAAUUAAAGAUUUUGGCGGUAUUUUAGUCCUUUCAGAGGAACCUGUCCUGUAAUUGAUAGUCCACGAUUAAUUUUACUUUCUUAUUGGCUUGUAUAUCGUCGUUAUUGAAAAUUUUUUUAGAAUUAAAAUUUUCAAUAUUUAUUAUUUUAGCUAAUGUCAGAUCAAGGUGCAGCAUUGGGGAAGAAGAGAUGGGUUACAAUAAAUUUAUUUUUGGUUUAAGAUUUUUGAGGAUCUUUUUAAAUUGGAUUUGAGUGUAAUUUGGUUUACAUAUUCUUGGUGAUUUAGGCUCUAAAAUAUGCACAUAUUGCCCGUCACUCUCAAAAAUUUGAGAUAAGUCGUAACAUAGUAGAUGUACUGGAAAGUGUAUCUAGAACUA
rnacentral:ncRNA from 1 species